CAAAUUAGGACCAAAACCCAUCAAACCCACUUCUCUAAAUGGGGUGGCUUCGCUCACUCAUCUCCCCAUUGAAGAAGCUUUGGGAUCGUCUUCACUCUGCCCACCAAAAGCGGACAGGGAUAUAUAUUCUGUACAAAGACGUGAAGUCAUGUCCGUGUGAAGAUGUGCAUGUUCUAUGGUCGAUUCUGGUUGAAUCACACCCGCCGUCUUCGCGGCCGCGGAAAUGACGCAGCCAGUCUCCCCCUUGUGAAGACCUUAAUUUUAUCUCUCUGCGUUCUGCACAUAAUACCAAUAACUAGCCUCCCUGUCUCAAAUCUUCUUCUUCUUCUUCUUCUUCUGUGUAAGUACAGUGUCAAUACUUGCCAUUCUUGGCUUCUUGUAUAACAGAUACAGACAUUAGACAUAAAUGGUUUGGUUCAGACUCCCAACAUUUUCCUUCUUUCAACCCUGUUUUCACGAUUGAUACAGAGCAGCAAUUCAUGGUGGGGAGGCAGAGGGUGUUUGGAUGACUAGUGUCAAACUAUGCUUACAACAUGAUUUAUAUUGCGUUUGUAACCUCACCAUGUUUUUGAAAGGCACUAUGUGCUUCAGAGAUGUGAACACAAAAAUGCCACCCAACCCAGAAAAAACUUACCAGCGAUAUAAAUUUGCUUCAUUGAUAAGUCUUUUCCUGUAUUUGGACCUUAUUUGAAGGGAUAUGUGCUUCAACUAAACAUGCACUUCUAGUA